rnacentral:rRNA from 1 species
GUCUACGGCCAUACCACCCUGAACGCGCCCGAUCUCGUCUGAUCUCGGAAGCUAAGCAGGGUCGGGCCUGGUUAGUACUUGGAUGGGAGGAAUGACUGUGACGUGAAGA